AUGUCCCAGUGCCAGGACUCUGGGGGGCUCGGGGCAUGCUCCGGCCUGGAUCGAGCCGGCCUCCUUUUGCCCCUGCCCUUUUCUGCUCACAGCCUCAUUGUCUCUCUCCAGGGGAAGCUGCCAAAGAGGGAGGCCUGGCCCGGGGUUUGUGGGGGGGGGGAGUUGGGGGGUUGGCCACCCCACCCCCACCCUACCCCACCCUGGAGCUUGGAGGGGGCCCACACAGGGUCAGGGCCCCCAGAUGAAGCCAGGGUAGGAAAGGGUGGUAGCUGGGAGACCUGGGUGCCAGCAGAAGGAAGCCUGGCUUCUUUCUCUGCCUCCCUGCGGGGCCAGACGGCGGCCAUGGCCAUCCCGGGCCUCUGGUUCCUGUUUCCUGUCCAUAAGCGAAGCGGGGGUGGGGGUGAAGGGCAAGAUGGGCUGGGCAAGGGAGGGGGUCUGGGUGGUGUUUUCCCCAGUGGAACAAGGGGAGGGCGAGUUUCUUUCAUAGAAAAUAUAAAACAGAAAGAGGAGAGAGGAAGAGGGAAGAAGGGAGAUGGAUUCGGCUGUUCUAUGGGAGCGAGUUAUUUUCUACAUCCUCUGAUUGGAGGUAUAAAUAAAGAUGGGUCAGACGUGGGGAAGAACUUCCUGGGGGCGGGCGGGGGGAGCAGAGCUGAGGGGGUGGAGCUGGCGAUGGGGAAGCGACAGCUUCUCUCUGUGUGUGCCUCACUCUCUAGACUGUCAGGGCCGGAGCACUGGCUGGAUCGCCUAGAGGCAGGGGGCUGGACCAGGCGACCUCAGGACAGCCCGACCAGUAUCUUGGAAUCUGGAAUUCUUCGAUUCACAAAGAUAGGGUCCCAGUUGGGAGAGACACAGAGAGGCUGCACUGGCGGGGAGGAGGAGUUGGGGGAAGAAGAGAGUGGAAGGGAAGUCUCUCUGGGAGCUGCAGGCAGGUCCCUGAGCCGAUUCCCAGGCCUGGGAGACCCCCUCCAGGUCCCCCCUUUCCCGACCAGGACAGCCCAUUCAGUCACGGGUCCUGGGGUCCUCUCGGCUCCCGGCCUGGCUGCAGCGGGCUGCUACAGGUUCAGCUGCUCCAGCUCGGGAGCUCUGGCCUGGCCCGUGUUCUCUGAGAUCCAGAGAUUUCAGGGAACAGCCUGCAAGGUCCAGGCUGAAGUGGGGGUGGGAGGCAGGGGCCCAGGGGGUGGCAAGAAACCGUAG
rnacentral:lncRNA from 1 species